UGUUAUAGUAGUUAAAAUAUAAUAAAGGUAUGUGGAACCUUAGUUGAUUGUAUCCUAUAAUAU
rnacentral:tRNA from 1 species